CGCCACUGCAAACGCGAUGCCCAUGCCGCGAGGUGGUGGAAUCUUUGCAGGCUUGCAGCCUCGGACGAGCCGCUCGAUCAGUUGACGCGAUGGAGGCGAAGCGGCGGCGGGGCGGAGCAGCAGCCGGCUGAGGGGGGAGGAACUGAUGCCGGUCACGCAGCCGUCUCUGCCUUACUCCUGUCGAGAUGUUGGUUCCCUUUCCUGGCCGCACGGGAUCCGCGGGGAGCGGGUGGCGCCGGCGCGUUACCAUCAAUCCAGCAUGGCAGAUUGGCAGAUAUGGUAACUUCUUUUCGCCUCAAAUCUUUUGCUUCAAGAGAUUCUUACAUUAGAGCAAGUUUAAUAGAAUAGCUAACUACUGGCUCCAAUUUAUUUAUAGUCAAUCUAAUAGCCAACUCAUAUAAUAGUUAUCAACAAAACAUCAAUAUAUGGUCCCACAUAUAAUACACAUUUUGUUUUGGAGUCCGUGUACAGCUAUAGCUCACAUCUCUUCUCUCUCCUCUCUUAUCUCUUUAAAAUAUGCUUAUAGCUGGCUUAUAGCCUGCUAUUGUACCUGCUCUGAUGAACUUUCGAAUACACAUUUUAUCUUGAAACCCGUGUGCAGCUGACUAUAAAUUAAUUAGUAGCUCACCUCUCUUCUCUCUCCACUCUUACCUUUUUAAAAUAUGCUUAUAGCCGUCUUAUAGCUUGCUAUUGUACCUGCUCUGAUGAACUUUUGAAUACUUAAUCAAUAUCUCACGGAUGAAAAGACAUAACAAAUGAUCACGGCUGGGGAUCUAAUGCAAUCAUUAUUUUGUUAUAUCUACUCAAUUUUUUAACAUAGCCUACCUGUUUUCUAAAAGAAUGCAGUAUCUCUGUCUAAUGUAUUGAUAAAGAAAUGGAGAAAAAGCAGGUAGCACGAGUGCACAACCACCUACAUCGUGCAUUCUUUCGAAUAUAUAUUAGUUCGUAGUUUACCACUAUACAGUCCUCAAUCUGUUGAAAGCUUAUGCUAAACAGUUAAUCAACGGCCUUCUAGCACAGUCAGACUCACGUUAUUAACAGAUUUUUCCAUGUUUCCUCCUCUUGCAUCUUCAGCUUCGUAAUGCCUCUGGACAAAAUAUAUAGGUUGCACUGGCAUUGGGUGUGGCAUGUCCGCAUUCUCCAGCAUAGACACAACAAAUGACAUCGGCGGCCUGGCAUUUGGGCUGUCCUGGACACACAUGAGCUCAAUAUGGAUGCAUUUAAAUACUUCACUGAUGGAACAGCUCUCCAAAACUGAUGUGUCCACAAAAUCCCUUUGUUUUCCAUCUUUCCAUAAGUUCCAUGCUUGAAAUAACAGAUUGCAUUCAUAUUUAUUCUGUCUAUAUAGGCUGCGUUCUUUUGCUAGAAUUUUUCCACCAGCCGAGACGAGCCUCUUGCCGUCGGUGAUGUUCCCGGCCUUGUCAAACGCGUCAGCUGGAAUGUCUGCGACAGUGCUUCUCAGAGAAAGCAGGAGCAGGCAUGGCCGCAGCAGGAGGAGGAGAAUGUUUUCAAUGGAUACUGAACUCGUGGCUGAGUAGAUAUGAUGUUUGUUGUUGCUCAAGGUCACUUGUAUGCAUAAUCGCGUUCUCUGUCUCUGUUUAUAUAUACACGAUCGAAUGAACGAUCUCACCAAGUCGUUCACGUAGAAUCGGAGGAAAUGGUUAAUAUAUUUAUUGCCGCUUAAAAUGUCAAGCGUCUGACUUUUAGCCAUCCUCUGUUAUAUUGAGAAAGGGAAUCCCCGACAACUGUGUCCAGCAGCAAUUGUAUACUGAUCACUUAAUGGCUAUCUUAUUAGCUUAUUACAUA
rnacentral:lncRNA from 1 species